GACGAACGCUGGCGGCGUGCUUAACACAUGCAAGUCGAACGGAAAGGCCCUGCUUGCAGGGUACUCGAGUGGCGAACGGGUGAGUAACACGUGGGUGAUCUGCCCUGCACUUCGGGAUAAGCCUGGGAAACUGGGUCUAAUACCGGAUAGGAGCCAUUUUUAGUGUGAUGGUUGGAAAGUUUUUUCGGUGUAGGAUGAGCUCGCGGCCUAUCAGCUUGUUGGUGGGGUAAUGGCCUACCAAGGCGGCGACGGGUAGCCGGCCUGAGAGGGUGGACGGCCACAUUGGGACUGAGAUACGGCCCAGACUCCUACGGGAGGCAGCAGUGGGGAAUAUUGCACAAUGGGCGCAAGCCUGAUGCAGCGACGCCGCGUGGGGGAUGACGGCCUUCGGGUUGUAAACUCCUUUCGCUAGGGACGAAGCUUUUUGUGACGGUACCUAGAUUAGAAGCACCGGCUAACUACGUGCCAGCCGCCGCGGUAA
rnacentral:rRNA from 1 species